rnacentral:ncRNA from 1 species
UGACCUCGAAUCAGGUAGGGAUACCCGCUGAACUUAAGCAUAUCAAUAAGCGGAGGAAAAGAAACCAACCGGGAUUACCUCAGUAACGGCGAGUGAAGCGGUAACAGCUCAAAUUUGAAAUCUGGCUCCUGCGGAGUCCGAGUUGUAAUUUGUAGAAGAUGCUUUGGGAGGGAGGCUCGGCCUAAGUUCCUUGGAACAGGACAUCAGAGAGGGUGAGAAUCCCGUAUGUGGCCGUGGCCUCCGCCCGUGUAAAGCUCUUUCGACGAGUCGAGUUGUUUGGGAAUGCAGCUCAAAAUGGGUGGUAAAUUUCAUCUAAAGCUAAAUAUUGGCCAGAGACCGAUAGCGCACAAGUAGAGUGAUC